rnacentral:rRNA from 1 species
ACCCACGAGCGUUGAAAAGCUCGGGGAUGACUUGUGGGUAGCGGUGAAAUUCCAAUCGAGCCCGGAGAUAGCUGGUUCUCCCCGAAAUAGCUUUAGGGCUAGCCUCAAGGUGAGAGAUACGGAGGUAGAGCACUGAAUGUCCUAGGGGGUAUUGCACCUACCGAAGACUAUCAAACUCCGAAUGCCGUCAUCUUAUACUUGGGAGUCAGACUGUGGGUGAUAAGAUUCAUAGUCGAAAGGGCAACAGCCCAGAUCGUCAGCUAAGGUCCCUAAAUGUAAGUUAAGUGGUAAAGGAUGUGGGAUUGCACAGACAACCAGGAUGUUGGCUUAGAAGCAGCCACUCAUUCAAAGAGUGCGUAAUAGCUCACUGGUCGAGUGAUCCUGCGCCGAAGAUUUCCGGGGCUAAAACUUACUACCGAAGCUACGGCAUCAGUAAUGAUGGGUAGGGGAGCUUCCCAUACGGGUUUAAGCAUGACCGUAAGGACAUGUGGACAGUAUGGGAGUGAGAAUGUUGGCAUGAGUAGCGAGAUGUGGGUGAGAAUCCCACAGGCCGUAAACCCAAGGUUGCCAGGGGAAGGUUCGUCCGCCCUGGGUUAGUCGGGACCUAAGCUGAGGCCGAAAGGCGUAGGUGAUGGACAACAGGUUGAUAUUCCUGUACUACCGAUAACCGUUUGAGAGA